rnacentral:lncRNA from 7 species
AUGCCAAGGUUACACAAUUGGCCCAAAAGAAGCCACCAACACAAUUGUAUUCUCCAUUCGAAACAGAGGCGAAAUGCACUACCUUAGUUGUCAAUCAAAUUUGGUUAACAAAAGACUAUAGUGGAGGGAUCCUCAAAUGGUCUAAUCACAAAAUAGAAAAAAUAUGAUACGAUUAAGACUGUUUUUCUUGCCAAUCAGGCUAGACAAGGUAGGAGAUGGAAGUAAAGCACCCAUUUUUCGCAGCCGCAGCUCCCCCUAACAACCAAAUCGAAAAUAUGAGGAAGCAAACACCUCUUGCCACA